rnacentral:rRNA from 1 species
UACGUAGGGGGCUAGCGUUGUCCGGAUUUAUUGGGCGUAAAGGGCUCGUAGGCGGCCAACUAAGUCAGACGUGAAAUCCCUCGGCUUAACCGGGGAACUGCGUCUGAUACUGGAUGGCUUGAGUUUGGGAGAGGGACGCGGAAUUCCAGGUGUAGCGGUGAAAUGCGUAGAUAUCUGGAGGAACACCGGUGGCGAAGGCGGCGUCCUGGACCAAUACUGACACUGAGUGAGCGAAAGCCAGGGGAGCAAACGGG